CCUACGGGAGGCAGCAGUGGGGAAUUUUGGACAAUGGGGGAAACCCUGAUCCAGCCAUCCCGCGUGUGCGAUGAAGGCCUUCGGGUUGUAAAGCACUUUUGGCAGGAAAGAAACGUCAUGGGUUAAUACCCCGUGAAACUGACGGUACCUGCAGAAUAAGCACCGGCUAACUACGUGCCAGCAGCCGCGGUAAUACGUAGGGUGCAAGCGUUAAUCGGAAUUACUGGGCGUAAAGCGUGCGCAGGCGGUUCGGAAAGAAAGAUGUGAAAUCCCAGAGCUUAACUUUGGAACUGCAUUUUUAACUACCGGGCUAGAGUGUGUCAGAGGGAGGUGGAAUUCCGCGUGUAGCAGUGAAAUGCGUAGAUAUGCGGAGGAACACCGAUGGCGAAGGCAGCCUCCUGGGAUAACACUGACGCUCAUGCACGAAAGCGUGGGGAGCAAACAGGAUUAGAUACCCUGGUAGUCCACGCCCUAAACGAUGUCAACUAGCUGUUGG
rnacentral:rRNA from 1 species